UCUGCGCUUCGGGAUCUCGACAAAGCUUCGGAACGUCAGUUUCACUUCAGCCAUCCCUACCAGGCACAAGUUCCCGUCCUUCACAGAGUGAACUGGGGCAGAUUGACGCUUGAUCCUGUACAAGGCUGGGUCCGUGUCGACAGACUGCCUCCUCGUGGUGAGACUGCAAGGGUUGACACUCUGUUACGUCGUCUCCCGGAGUGGUGUGUGCGUGCCGACCCGACCUUCCUACUUUGAGGAGAGCAGAGGUGUCAAGUAACGAAG